GAUGAACGCUAGCUACAGGCUUAACACAUGCAAGUCGAGGGGCAGCAUGGUCUUAGCUUGCUAAGGCCGAUGGCGACCGGCGCACGGGUGAGUAACACGUAUCCAACCUGCCGUCUACUCUUGGACAGCCUUCUGAAAGGAAGAUUAAUACAAGAUGGCAUCAUGAGUCCGCAUGUUCACAUGAUUAAAGGUAUUCCGGUAGACGAUGGGGAUGCGUUCCAUUAGAUAGUAGGCGGGGUAACGGCCCACCUAGUCUUCGAUGGAUAGGGGUUCUGAGAGGAAGGUCCCCCACAUUGGAACUGAGACACGGUCCAAACUCCUACGGGAGGCAGCAGUGAGGAAUAUUGGUCAAUGGGCGAGAGCCUGAACCAGCCAAGUAGCGUGAAGGAUGACUGCCCUAUGGGGUUGUAAACUGCUUUUAUAAGGGAAUAAAGUGAGUCUCGUGAGACUUUUUGCAUGUACCUUAUGAAUAAGGACCGGCUAAUUCCGUG
rnacentral:rRNA from 1 species